CUCUCCAGCCCCGGGGGCCUGGAUGUCCCAGCUGCCUGGCGCGGGUGGGCUUUGGGGAGGGGGGGGCCCGAGCUUUUUGGGGAGGGGGGUGCUGAAGCGUGCUACUCUUGUUUGCUUGCUUUUCACGACCGAGGUGCACCUAAACCCGCCGUCCUGGCCAGUCCUUCCCGCGCGGAAAGGUGCCGGGCACGCGGGACAGCCCCCCGCCGAGCCCCGCUUUCGCAGGACGCGGCUUGCCAGCCCACGGCGGGUGCCCCCAGUCCCGCAUAGCCUCCCCGUCCUUCCUCCCCCGUGGCCCGCAAUCGCUCUCUGGGCUUCCGGCGGCCCCUGUUGAGACUCGCACAGCCGGAGUCAGACUGGUGUGGGGUCGGUUUGUUCACUUCGGGGAGCCCCUUCCUGGGAUAGGGCACCGCGCCCUGUUGCCCUUCUCCAGCCCGCCGCUCCUUUCGUCGGCUACCUGGAGCACAGCAGGCACUCCGUCUCUACUUGCUGGCUGACGGUCCCUCGGUGCCCCUCAAAGGUCGGGACCUUCACCUCUGGAGAAUCAAAGCAAUUUCCCAACGCCGGGAUGACCGCAUAGCUUCCUCAUCAGUGAAAUGAACGACCAAAAGUGCCUUUUGGGGGAGAAGGAGCCAAGAGUCUUUGGAACAGCGGUCGAAAAACUUCGGAGGCAGAGCCACAGCUAGUCGGAAACUUUGUCCGUGUUUUGACGCUUUGAUUGUGUUGAUUGGCAGCUCUUUGCUCGGCUGCUUUUCCGUUCAGUUAUAAGAGGAGCCACGAGGGGGCAAUGUCUCCCUGAGCAAUGAGUGGUGGGCUUGGGUGGCUGGGCCGGCCAGCAGGCUUUUAGCCCUUUGCCCUCCUUGGCUGCUCUGGCCUGUUACUGAACACAUUCUGCAGAGUGACAAUGUUUCGCUGGUGCCUAGCAAGGACGCAAGAAAAAAAAAAAAAUGACAAAAUGGUCGGAACCCAUUUAGAAGGUGGAUUAGGUUGUGGGCUUUCAGUAUGCUGGGAGAAUCUUCCCUCCCUGGCUUCGUUCCAGAUAGAAAACCUGAUUUAUUUGUUUGUUUAUUUACUUAUUUUGGUCUUGAAGCCAAAACAAAGCUAGCAACCUCUGGUGUAGGAAAGAAAAACAAGUCCUCUGGGAGGACCCUUACCUGGCAUCUUCAGUGUGUCUUCCCAACAUCUAGACAGCGCCUAACACACACCCGAAACACGCCGGGCAGCGGCGGUGCGUGCCUUCGGUCCCAGCACUCAGGAGGCGAGGCAAGCAGACGGCUGAGUUCAAGUCCAGCCUGGACUUGAGUUCCGGAACAUGCAGGGCUACACAGAGAAACCCUGUCUCUGAAGGUGUGUAAGAACAGUCACUAGAUAGAGUCAUCACUGACUUUUGGAAGGUGUGGUCUGGAUGGAGACAUUGCCCACAACAGGAAGACUGAAGAAAGAGACUUAAAGAAAUGAAAAAGAGGAGCUGGAGAGAUGGCUCAGCUGUUAGUGCUCUUCCUAAAUGGACCUGAGUUCAAAUCCCAGCACCCGCAUGGCAGCUUACAAUUUUCUGUAACUCCAAGAUCUGACACCCUCACAGAGACGUAUGUGCAGACAAGGCACCAAUGCACAAAUACAUAUAAAAUAAAGUGCUGCAGUCGCCUUCAGUUUCUUCCUUCCGUGUUUUAAAGUUUUGAUGAAUGGCUUCUUUGAGAUCCUCGUACUGUCCCCCCAGGAGAAACUUAGUGAACUCUCUCUGCUUCCUGUGUGGAGAUGAAAUGUGGUGAGGCCCCAGCCUCUCCUGCCACCAUGCCUUCCCUGCCCAGUGCUGUCUGCCUUACAGUGGUGGACUUUCCCCCUGGAACUGUGCUCAGAGCUGACCUUGUGAUGAGUCUUGGUAGGAACUUUGGACUUGGACUUCAGAGCAACACUGGAACAGUUGAGACCUUGGAAACUCUUAAAGAAGACCGCUUUUGAACUGUGAGGUGGACCAGCAAGCCUUUGAAGGCCAGGGUGGAAUGAGGGAAUGAGAGCCACAUGUUAAAAAUCUAGUUCCCCAACCAUAAUUAAAGUAGCGAUUGUGGAGGCUUUAGGAGGUGGAAUCCAGCGGAAACUUUGGUUUAUUAGGGACAUAUUUCUCAAAGGGCAUUGUGGCACUCUAGCCUGUAACCAGCAAAAGAAACCCUGUGUGUAUAAGGUCUUGAGGGUAUGUGUAUUGUUGACUUGGCACAGCCAUCCAAAGAACAAAGGCAUCAGGCCCAGGGGAAAUUGGCAAAGCCUUUCCCCAUCCUUACGGGUCAGGCUUAAAAUCGGUAAAGCCGUCCUCCUUUGGGCCAAGUGUAUUUUGGGACAAUUGGUUGGUGUGCAUAAAAACUAGCAGCUGUGGCUUCCUUCCCUGGGAAGUUUACAGCCUACAGACACCUCCUACCAAUACUAGCCAGCUCCAACCUCUGUGCUUACCAUGUUAUUAUGCUUAUCAUGUGCUGUGUUAUCACAAUAAACAUGCUGAAGUUGUGGGUUGCAUAGACAGACACAGCUCCAUGAGAGCAUGGAGCCCUCUGGAACCUUGCUUUUCUGUGUUUAUAUCCAGGUGUCUGUCAUUUCCUUUCUUUUCUUUUUUUGUUUUUCAAGACAGGGUUUCUCUUUGUAGUCUUGGCUGUCCUGGACUCCAGGCUGUAGACCAGGAGUCUUAGAACUCCUUGUAGACAGUCUUGUAGACCAGGCUGGCUUGGAACUCACAGAGACCCACCCGCCUCUGCCUCUGCCUCCCCCAGUGCUGGGAUUAGAGGCCUGCAUCACAGCAUCUGGCUUGUCUAUGAUUUCUUUAAUGUCUGUUCUUUUCCUCAUUUCCUACCAUCUCUAGUCAGGGUUCCGGGACCAAUAUGUGGUAUCUAGUGGGGGUUUCCGUUUAUUUGGGACACACACUCUCAGAGUGAAUUGUGGGACACUAUUCUCUUUCUUCAUAGUCACAGAAGAGCAGUUUACACUGCCCCAUAUUUUCACCAUGAUAUUCUGAUCAAUGGCAUGGACCAUGGACCAAAUAAACUGCUUUUUGUUUUUGUUUUUGUUUUUUUUUUUAGUUCACAUAAAGAGAAGGAGAGAACCUAAAAGAGGAACUGCUCCAUUAUCCUAUCUGAAUUUAGAAGAAACAUAAGCCAGAAAUUGUGGGGAUUAAAAAACAAAAACAAAAACAAAAACAUUUCACCAGGCAGUGGUGGCACAGGUUAAUCCCAGCACUGUGGAGACAGGCAGGCAGAUCCAUGUAAAGAGGCAAGCUUAGUCUGCAAAACAAGUUUCAAGACAGCUGGGCUGACACAGAAAAACCCUGUCUUGAAAGAAAAAAAAAAAAAAAAAAAAACAACCAAAAAACCCAAACAAAUAAGUACAAGAUUCUCACUUCUUGCUUCCUCAGAUGACAAGACUCAGAAUGCGAAGUUGCCUAGGGACAAAGGUCUAGUCAAAUGCCACCAGAAAACCAAGCAUGGCCAUAGGUAAAUUUGGGGAGAUAGGUGGGCCCUCUGGUAGACAUCCUCUACAGAAGUUCAAAGUCGCCUUGUGGUACUUACACCCUGUGUAAUCCCCGCCCUUUAGUGUCAGCUGGACUGACUAGCUUCUAAUGGGCACAGAAGACAGAGGUGGUGUUUUUCAUGCCCCUUAUUGCUCUCUUACUUGCUGUCUUUGAUGAAAGCCAGCUGUCAAGAUGUAAAUGCCUGAGGAACUGUGGAGGCCUCCAUCUACGAGCUACAGAGGGAGGAGCUGUCUCAGCAUUCCUCAUCUCUCCUGGAACUGGUCUUGCCAGCAACUGCGUGAGCAAAGGUGGAAGUUGGUUUUCCUUGGUACAUGGAAGUUGGUUCUCCUUGGCACUUGAAACGUGUUGUGGACUGGAGGUCCUUGUCCUCCCCACAAAUUCAAAUUAUAAAAACCUAACCUCCAAGAUGAUGAUGGUGUUGAAAGUCAGUCCUUCGGAAGGGAUUAGAUUUAGAUGAGGUAGGAGGGUGUCUGCUCUGUAAUGCAGUGUGUUUAUGCUUCUGAGAGAGAAAAAGUUGUCUAAGUGUACUGUCUUCAUUCUAUUAUCUAUCUAUAUCUAUCAUCUAUCUAUCUGUCCAUCAUCUAUCUAUCAUCUGUCAUCGAGCUAUCUCUGUAUAUCAUCUGUCCUCAAUCUAUCUCAUCUAUCUAUCUAUCUAUCUAUCUAUCUAUCUAUCUAUCUAUCUAUCUCUCUUUUUGUCUCAUAGAGGGAAAAAUGUAACUCCUGCCCCUGCAGCUAUGAAGAGGGCCCUUAUCAGGAAGAAAAUUAACUCGAACCUUCAUUUUGGAAUUGCUAGCCACCAGAUCAGACUGGCCUUGAACUCUGCCUCCCUGGGUGCUGGGAGCCCAGAGAGUGUGGAGAUCAGAGAAAGAAGAAGGCUGUGCCUGCUUCCCCUUUGCUGCUCCUGGUUGCUGUUGUGAGACAAGAAGUUGGAGAGCAACUGAAAACAAGAAUUGGACUGGCUCCAAGGAACCUGAUUGCCCUAACCAGCAGGAAGCAGCUAACCUUUUCUCUCUCCUACUUGGUGUUGGGGUGUGGGAAGGGACUGAGGUGGAGCAGGGAGAAAAAGAUAUAUAACAUAAAUAAAAGAGUUUUUAAAAAGUAUACCUACACCAGGUUGGCCUUGAACUCACAGAGCUCCACCAGCCUCUGCCUCCCUCGUGCUUGGGAUUACAGGUGCAUUCCACCUCACCUGGCUUUUUGGAGAUAGGGUUUCUCUCUGGAACCUCUGUGAAAGUUUUUGUUUUAUUUCAAAAAGCAAAAUUUAUUUUACCUGAUACAUGGAAGCCAAAGAGAUAUUCAUGCUGUGUCGUGUGAUAGUUUGAUACACACAGAUGUCGUAACCACAGUUUUCACUUCUUUUUAAAUUUUAUUUAUUUUUCUGUGCCUUGAUGUUUUGCCUGCAUGUAUGUAUGUCAGUGAGAGGGUGUUAGAUCCCCUGGAACUGGAGUUACAGGCACCUGUGAGCUGCCAUGUUGGUGCUGGGAAUCAAACCCAGGCCCUACUGGAAGAGCAGCCAGUGCUCUUAACCACUGGGCCACCUCUCCAUGAUUCCCGUGCCUUCAUUUUCAUUUUGAAAGUUGAGUUUUGGCUGACUUCCUGAGUACUUUAAUUUCCUGGAGCCCCAGCCUAUCUGACAGUGUUGUCUACACCCAGGGUUGGCCCGUUCUCCUUCGUUCUCCUUCAGUUCUGUGGAAAUAGCUUCAAGUCACCCUCGGCAGUACGCUUUGCUAACCUUCUUGGGCAUCCCUUAAUCUAUGGAGAAGCUGAACCAUCCAACUCUUUCCUGCACCACUUAAAUCCACCUUGAGAUACUGAAAGGCUUCCUCUGAAGGGCGGUUCUUAAUGACUAAAUGAAUUAAACCUACAAUCUUGCCUCCUAACACUGGUCGAUUCUCUGUAAAUAUGUAAAUGUUAUACAUUUGUCACUUCACUGUUGCUCUUCAGAAACGUUUCGAUUUAUUCCUUUUCUGAGGCUAAAAUUCGAGUCACAGGAAAAUGGAACUAACUAGAAAAAUCUAGUUAGGAAACUAACUAGGAAAAAUCACAGUUCCAGGACAGCCAGGGCUACACAGAGAAACCCUAUCUUGAGAAACAAAAACAAAAAA